rnacentral:tRNA from 1 species
UGGGGUAUCGUCCAACGGCAGGACUGCAGACUCUGGAUCUGCCUAUCUAGGUUCGAAUCCUAGUCCCCCAG